GGCGAGUGAAGCGGCAACAGCUCAAAUUUGAAAUCUGGCGUCUUUGGCGUCCGAGUUGUAAUUUGCAGAGGGCGCUUUGGCAUUGGCAGCGGUCCAAGUUCCUUGGAACAGGACGUCACAGAGGGUGAGAAUCCCGUACGUGGUCGCUAGCCUUUACCGUGUAAAGCCCCUUCGACGAGUCGAGUUGUUUGGGAAUGCAGCUCUAAAUGGGAGGUAAAUUUCUUCUAAAGCUAAAUACUGGCCAGAGACCGAUAGCGCACAAGUAGAGUGAUCGAAAGAUGAAAAGCACUUUGGAAAGAGAGUUAAAAAGCACGUGAAAUUGUUGAAAGGGAAGCGCUUGCAGCCAGACUUGCCUGUAGUUGCUCAUCCGGGUUUUUACCCGGUGCACUCUUCUAUAGGCAGGCCAGCAUCAGUUUGGGCGGUUGGAUAAAGGUCUCUGUCAUGUACCUCUCUUCGGGGAGAACUUAUAGGGGAGACGACAUGCAACCAGCCUGGACUGAGGUCCGCGCAUCUGCUAGGAUGCUGGCGUAAUGGCUGUAAGCGGCCCGUCUUGAAACACGGACCAAGGAGUCUAACAUCUAUGCGAGUGUUUGGGUGUCAAGCCCGAACGCGUAAUGAAAGUGAACGGAGGUGGGAACCUUUCGGGGUGCACCAUCGACCGAUCCUGAUGUCUUCGGAUGGAUUUGAGUAAGAGCAUAGCUGUUGGGACCCGAAAGAUGGUGAACUAUGCUUGAAUAGGGUGAAGCCAGAGGAAACUCUGGUGGAGGCUCGCAGCGGUUCUGACGUGCAAAUCGAUCGUCAAAUUUGGGCAUAGGGGCGAAAGACUAAUCGAACUAUCUAGUAGCUGGUUCCUGCCGAAGUUUCCCUCAGGAUAGCAGUAACGUUUUCAGUUUUAUGAGGUAAAGCGAAUGAUUAGAGGCCUGGGGGUUGAAACAACCUUCACCUAUUCUCAAACUUUAAAUAUGUAAGAAGUCCUUGUUACUUGAUUGAACGUGGA
rnacentral:misc_RNA from 1 species